GGGCCUAUAGCUCAGUUGGUUAGAGCGCUUCACUGAUAAUGAAGAGGUCGGAGGUUCAAAUCCUCCUAGGCCCA
rnacentral:tRNA from 1 species